UAAUACGGAGGGUCCAAGCGUUAUCCGGAUUUAUUGGGUUUAAAGGGUGUGUAGGCGGAAAUAUAAGUCAGCGGUGAAAUCCUGCAGCUCAACUGCAGAACUGCCGCUGAUACUGUGUUUCUUGAGUAUAGUUGAAGUGGGCGGAAUGUGUCAUGUAGCGGUGAAAUGCAUAGAUAUGACACAGAACACCGAUUGCGAAGGCAGCUCACUAAACUAUUACUGACGCUGAGGCACGAAAGCGUGGGUAGCGAACAGGAUUAGAUACCCUGGUAGUCCACGCCGUAAACGAUGAUUACUCGAUGUUGGCGAUACACUGUCAGCGUCCAAGCGAAAGUGUUAAGUAAUCCACCUGGGGAGUACGGUCGCAAGAUUG
rnacentral:rRNA from 1 species